AUGAUUUUAUGCUAUGAAUGGUAAGGCUGUUAUAUGAAUGAACUGUUAUGAAAUUAUGAAUGCCUUAAUAUGAUGAUCUGUUGAAUGUGAUAUGUGUAUGGAUGUUAGAUACAUCAAACAGAAUGCGAUGUUAGAUACAUCAAACAGAUUUCGAUGUCAGAUACAUCGAACGAGUUACUAAGGACAUUGAGACGUGACUCCUAGGGCGGACGCGCCGAGGUUAUUCAAGGACCAGUGAUCUCCUGUUUACCUCAUAGGGUGACAUGGACAACUAGCGUUCCAUGCUCAUCAUGUAGCAAAUAGGAUUUCUCUAUGGCACGCGUGGUGACGUGAGGAGUUCUUCAUCAUGGGGUGUAUGGCGUGGGGCAAUCCUAUGGACGAUAAAACGAUCAACGUAGAACGCCAUUUAAAUUAUGUUUUGUUUUAAGGGACUUUUUCCUAAAUUAUCAGUGGAACUCUGUUAUUUAACUUAAUUGGUUUUCUUUGAACUUUGCAUAAAAACCUAUGUUUUAUUUUAAACUUAUGGCGCCAACUUGCAUGAUUUUAAAUAAGUCCCCCUGAGACUUUAAUAAAGGAUGGUAUUCUUUUAUAA